rnacentral:rRNA from 1 species
UACGUAGGGGGCAAGCGUUGUCCGGAAUUAUUGGGCGUAAGCGCGCGCAGGCGGCUAUCCAAGUCAGUGGUGAAAGCCCGGAGCUCAACUCCGGAACUGCCAUUGAAACUGUUUAGCUUGAGGACGAGAGAGGUGAGUGGAAUUCCCAGUGUAGAGGUGAAAUUCGUAGAUAUUGGGAAGAACACCGGUGGCGAAGGCGGCUCACUGGCUCGUAUCUGACGCUCAGGCGCGACAGCGUGGGGAUCAAACAGG